CCUACGGGAGGCUGCAGUGGGGAAUAUUGCACAAUGGGGGAAACCCUGAUGCAGCAACGCCGCGUGGGUGAAGGAGCGUUUCUGCGCGUAAAGCCCUGUCAGCGGGGAAGAAGAAAGACGGUACCCGACCAAGAAGCCCCGGCUAACUACGUGCCAGCAGCCGCGGUAAUACGUAGGGGGCGAGCGUUAUCCGGAAGUACGGGGUGUAACGGGAGCGUAGGCGGGGAGGUAAGCCUGAAGUGGAAGCCCGCGGCCCAACCGCGGAACUGCCUUUGGAACUGGUUUGCUGGAGUAUGGGAGGGGGAAGCGGAAUGCCUGGUGUAGCGGUGAAAUGCGUAGAUAUCAGGAGGAACACCGGUGGCGAAGGCGGCUUACUGGACCAUAACUGACGUUGAGGCUCGAAAGCGUGGGGAGCGAACAGGAUUAGAUACCCUUGUAGUC
rnacentral:rRNA from 1 species